CCUACGGGCGGCAGCAGUAGGGAAUAUUGCUCAAUGGGGGAAACCCUGAAGCAGCAACGCCGCGUGGAGGAUGAAGGUUUUAGGAUUGUAAACUCCUUUUGUUAGAGAAGAUUAUGACGGUAUCUAACGAAUAAGCACCGGCUAAUUCCGUGCCAGCAGCCGCGGUAAUACGGAGGGUGAAAGCGUUACUCGGAAUCACUGGGCGUAAAGAGUGCGUAGGCGGGGUAAUAAGUCAGAUGUGAAAUCCUGUAGCUUAACUAGAGAACUGCAUUUGAAACUGUUGCUCUGGAGUGUGGGAGAGGUAGGUGGAAUUCUUGGUGUAGGGGUAGAAUGCGUAGAGAUCAAGAGGAAUACUCAUUGCGAAGGCGACCUGCUGGAACGUUACUGACGCUGAUGCUCGAAAGCGUGGGGAGCGAACAGGAUUAGAUACCCGGGUAGUC
rnacentral:rRNA from 1 species